UACGAAGGGUGCAAGCGUUAAUCGGAAUUACUGGGCGUAAAGGGCGCGUAGGCGGUUCGUUAAGUCUGUCGUGAAAUCCCCGGGCUCAACCUGGGAAUGGCGAUGGAUACUGGCGAGCUAGAGUGUGUCAGAGGGUGGUGGAAUUCCCUGUGUAGCGGUGAAAUGCGUAGAGAUCGGGAGGAACAUCAGUGGCGAAGGCGGCCAUCUGGGACACCACUGACGCUGAAGCACGAAAGCGUGGGGAGCAAACAGG
rnacentral:rRNA from 1 species